rnacentral:rRNA from 11 species
CGACCCCAGAUCAGGCGGGACUACC